rnacentral:rRNA from 1 species
GACAGAGGGUGCAAGCGUUGUUCGGAAUUAUUGGGCGUAAAGGGCGCGUAGGCGGUUUGUUAAGUCGAAUGUGAAAGCCCAGGGCUCAACCUUGGAAGUGCAUCCGAAACUGGCUAACUAGAAUCUCGGAGAGGGUGGUGGAAUUCCCAGUGUAGAGGUGAAAUUCGUAGAUAUUGGGAGGAACACCGGUGGCGAAGGCGGCCUUCUGGACAGUUACUGACGCUGAGGCGCGAAAGCUAGGGGAGCAAACGGG